rnacentral:lncRNA from 1 species
GUACUUUGAGCUUUUGGGUAAGUAGGCAGAUUCUGAAACCAUUGUGUUGUAUCUACUGAUUACUACAAAGGCGCAGAUUCAGGCUCUUUGUUAACUCCCUGGCAGACGGAGUGCUUCCAAGUGCAAUUUCCCUCCCCUCCUUUCUUUAGAAAUUACCUUGAAAUUUGAGUUGGGCCUAGGUUGGCAUGCAGGCAUUUUCCAUUCUGAGGGACAGGAAGUGGCUGUGAACCUUGUAACCUGUAUUCCUUCUUUGAGAGUCUAUAGGGCUGGAAAUAAAAACACAGAAGUCUCAGGAGUGCCCUGGCAGUGCUUCCCUGGAUGAAGGGUUUGGGGAGAACUUCUAGAGAGCCAGAAUUUCAUUACCAAAACUCCCCAUCUUUCUCCCCAAACCCAAAGUAGCAGUGAGACCUGGUGAUCACCUUCAUGUAAAAGAAUAGUAAUAAUCCCCCCUAAUCCUGUCCAAACCACAGAACCCUGCAGCUUUUGGACGAAUCCCGCCAUAAAACCACUUUCCCAUGACUUCCCGAACAGUAAACCCCAGCUUGGGUACCAGGGAAUGGCGCUUUCAGUUUUUAAUGGACUGCAGCUGAAGCAAGUUCAAAAGUGCGAGGAUUGUAAACUUCAGAGCAACUCUGCAGAUGCCGCACACCAUGGCAGAAUGAUUCAGAGGGCCAAACUUUGCCUCAUCAAGUCAGAGAAUUUUCUGCAAAUGAACUUUUCAAGAAUUAUGCCGUCGUUGGCAUUACAGUAUUACACACAUGCCUGUUCCCGAUCACUCACUGGAACUUAUUUUGUAGUUAACCUCCAUAAAGGACUGUGCGAGCGAGCACAGGCCUGUCACACACACAUUAUUUAGAAGCCCUUAUUAUUAUUUUAUUGCCAGUCCUUGACAGCUGAGGAAAAGCCAAGCGCUUUAAUCUUUUUUUCCCUUUAGUUUACAGUGUAAGAGCUGCAUGUAAGAUGGAUUUGAUUAAUAUGUAACAGAGAUGCAAUUCUCUGUAAAAUGUGCUGUACUUUUAGCACCCUGGAAAACAAACUGCAUCACAAUGGCUUAAAUCUCAGUCCAUUGUAUUAUAUAGACAUCAUAAAUAAUAGAGAGCAGGCAGAUAUUGCUGCAGGCUUCAUCUGCAUAACACAUCUGAGCUCUCUAUAAUGUGUUCAACUUGUCACUUUUAGUACAGAAGAGAGGCAAUAAAGCUAACAGCUGACUAACACACAUCAGCCCUACUUCUACUUCCAGGGGGGUGAAUGCUCAUUAAGCCAUCUUAGCCCUGACUUUUAAAAUCCAUAACUCUUACAAAUGUAAAAAAGUUGCCACAAAAGAUUAAGCGCAUAAUAUAUGUCAAAGUAUAAUGUUUUAUGCAUCUCCCCCAACUACCACUCCCCGCUGCCGCCACCACCACCACACCAAAAGUCUGGUUUCUUUUAUAGCCUUUUCACUAGAGGAAAGAAAAUAAAAAAUCUGGUUUUCAGAUAAAACCAAACGAAAUAUUAUUUUUCCAGCAUCACUAAGGGACUAGGUAAUUGCUUUUGAGUUUGAAGCAAAUGAGCUGACCCCAAGAAGGUUGAAGAUUGAAACCUUUUCCCCUCUCCUCUAAGACCAGCUCAAAGGAAAUAGGGAGCAUGAGCCCAGGAGUUUGAGACCAGCCUGGGCAACAUAGGAACACCCCAUCUUUACCCACAAAUAAAUAAAUAAUCCAGGCAGGUGUGGUGGUACGUGCCUGUGGUCUCAGCUACUAGGGAGGGUGAGGCAGGAGGAUUGCUUAACCUGGGAAGCUGAGGCUGCAGUGAGCUAUGAUUACAUCACCGCACUCCAGCCUGGGUGAUAGAGCGAGACCCUGUCUCAAAAAAAAAAAAAAAAAAAAAA